GUCUUAUACAGCCCUGCACUUUACUUGUAUUGCAGACAGACAGCUCUCAUCUGCACGUCAGCAAUCAUGAUCCACUCACUGAUGAGAAGUGAAUUCCCUUUCUUCUCUCUCCUUCGAAAGUUAACCUCAAAACACGGUUUGCAAAUGAGAGAGACAGGAAAAACAGGAGCCAGUAGCAGCUGUACAAAUUUGAAUCCGCCCCAAAGACCACUUAGAUCUCCGGUUUCAGAGAAUGGUGAGCAGAGUCUACCUCAGCUUCCAUCAUGAAUAUUAAGCAAAUGAAGUCUGGAAAUCUACCUCCACUACCCGCCAUAACAGUGUAACACAGCCCUGAAGUGGCAGCUGUGAAAAGAGAAAACCAGGACGGCCAGACAAACCUGGGAACAAGUUCGUACAGACUGGAGUUUCUGGAGGAAUCGGCUCUGCAGACCAGACAAGCAGGCAAGUAAGUGAAGUUUUAGGUUCUCUCUUUGGUUUGCUACAUUGCACCACAAACUGCCUGCAAGUCCUCUGGGAAGAUUUUCUGUGCUACAAUUAUCCAUCUCUUCAUGGCUGAAACAGGAUUACUGCCUGUGAACUUGGCAAGGUUUUGAGAAACA
rnacentral:lncRNA from 1 species